rnacentral:rRNA from 1 species
CCUACGGGAGGCAGCAGUGAGGAAUAUUGGUCAAUGGGCUUACGCCUGAACCAGCCAAGUCGCGUGAGGGAUGACUGCCCUAUGGGUUGUAAACCUCUUUUGUCAGGGAGUAAUUUGCGCUACGUGUAGCGUUAUCUAUAGUACCUGUAGAUAAGGCAUCGGCUAAUCCCGUCCCAGCACCCGCGUAAAUACGGAGGAUGCGAGGGUUAUCCGGAUUUAUUGGGUUUAAAGGGUGCGUAUGCGGAAUGCCAAGUCAGCGGUAAAAUCGCGGGGCCCAACCUCGCACAGCCGUUGAAACUGGCGGGCUUGAGUGCGCGAGAAGUAGGCGGAAUGCGUGGUGUAGCGGUGAAAUGCAUAGAUAUCACGAAGAACUCCGAUUGCGAAGGCAGCAUACCGGAGCGCAACGGACGCUGAAGCACGAAAGCGUGGGUAUCGAACAGGAUUAGAUACCCCAGUAGUC